rnacentral:rRNA from 1 species
UACGUAGGGGGGCUAGCGUUGUCCGGAAUCAUUGGGCGUAAAGAGCGUGUAGGCGGUCCGGUAAGUCCGUUGUGAAAGUCAAGGGCUCAACCCUUGAAUGCCGGCGGAUACUGUCGGGCUAGAGUCCGGAAGAGGCAAGUGGAAUUCCCGGUGUAGCGGUGAAAUGCGCAGAUAUCGGGAGGAACACCUAUGGCGAAGGCAGCUUGCUGGGACGGAACUGACGCUGAGACGCGAAAGCGUGGGGAGCAAACAGGG